GCGGAUGUAGCCCAAUGGCAGAGGCAGCGGUCCGAGAUGCCGUCCAGUGAAGGUUCGAAUCCCUCCAUCCGCAACA
rnacentral:tRNA from 2 species